GAUGAACGCUGGCGGUGUGCUUAACACAUGCAAGUCGAACGAUGAAGCCCAGCUUGCUGGGUGGAUUAGUGGCGAACGGGUGAGUAACACGUGAGUAACCUGCCCUUAACUCUGGGAUAAGCCUGGGAAACUGGGUCUAAUACCGGAUAGGAGCGCCUACCGCAUGGUGGGUGUUGGAAAGAUUUAUCGGUUUUGGAUGGACUCGCGGCCUAUCAGCUUGUUGGUGAGGUAAUGGCUCACCAAGGCGACGACGGGUAGCCGGCCUGAGAGGGUGACCGGCCACACUGGGACUGAGACACGGCCCAGACUCCUACGGGAGGCAGCAGUGGGGAAUAUUGCACAAUGGGCGAAAGCCUGAUGCAGCGACGCCGCGUGAGGGAUGACGGCCUUCGGGUUGUAAACCUCUUUCAGUAGGGAAGAAGCGAAAGUGACGGUACCUGCAGAAGAAGCACCGGCUAACUACGUG
rnacentral:rRNA from 1 species